rnacentral:rRNA from 1 species
UAAAACGUAGGGGGCAAGCGUUGCCCGGAUUCACUGGGCGUAAAGCGCGUGUAGGCGGUCCGUUAAGUCGGGUGUGAAAUCUCCAGGCUCAACCUGGAAAGUGCACCCGAUACUGGCGGACUUGAGGACGGUAGAGGUCGGUGGAAUGCCGAGUGUACCGGUGAAAUGGACAGAUAUUCGGCGGAACACCAGUGGCGAAGGCGGCCGACUGGGCCGUUCCUGACGCUGAGACGCGAAAGCCAGGGGAGCGAACCGGAUUAGAUACCCGGGUAGUCCUGGCCGUAAACGGUGCGGACUAGGUGUGGGGGGCUUCAUGCCUUCUGUGCCGGAGCUAACGCAUUAAGUCCGCCGCCUGGGGAGUACGGCCGCAAGGCUA